rnacentral:pre_miRNA from 1 species
UAAUUCAAUUUUUAGCUAUGAUUGUCCAAACGCAAUUCUUGUUGAAUUCAAAUACUCAAGGGUUGCGACUGGGCAUCGCGGCUCGAAAUACGAAUAC